GACGAACGCUGGCGGCGUGCUUAACACAUGCAAGUCGAACGGAAAGGCCCUGCUUUUGUGGGGUGCUCGAGUGGCGAACGGGUGAGUAACACGUGAGUAACCUGCCCUUGACUUUGGGAUAACUUCAGGAAACUGGGGCUAAUACCGGAUAGGAGCUCCUGCUGCAUGGUGGGGGUUGGAAAGUUUCGGCGGUUGGUGAUGGACUCGCGGCUUAUCAGCUUGUUGGUGGGGUAGUGGCUUACCAAGGCUUUGACGGGUAGCCGGCCUGAGAGGGUGACCGGCCACAUUGGGACUGAGAUACGGCCCAGACGCCUACGGGAGGCAGCAGUGGGGAAUAUUGCACAAUGGGCGGAAGCCUGAUGCAGCAACGCCGCGUGCGGGAUGACGGCCUUCGGGUUGUAAACCGCUUUCGCCUGUGACGAAGCGUGAGUGACGGUAAUGGGUAAAGAAGCACCGGCUAACUACGUG
rnacentral:rRNA from 1 species